UGGGUUACAGAUCUAGAUGUUUAUAUGCC
rnacentral:piRNA from 1 species